CUGAAAUGUAUCCAUUUAUAGACAAUUUGUCUUACCGUGGACUGACUUUUAGAGAUACUUUUGUAACCCUUUCCUGCUUCAUGCAAGGCAACAAUUCUUAAACUUAGGAAAACCUCUAACCAACAUCUCCAAUCUCGUCUCAUUGAUUGGACUCCAGUACUUUCAUAGUCCUAACCUACCCUCCGAACUGUGAGGACCUCCUCCAGCCUUCCAUGUUAGAUUUGGGCUGAUGCUAUGUUCCUCCCCUGCUUACAACACCAGCGCUGAACCAGAACAUAUUGACAUACUUUAAUCGAGGACCAUGCCUCAGGACUACCUGACAUGAUGACUCCUUGCUGUCCCCAGUCCACCUGGCCGUGCUGCUGCUCCAGUUUCAACUGUUCUGCCUGCGGCUAUGGAACCCUGACCUGUUCACCGGACGUGCUACCUGUCCCAGACCUGCUGUCCUAGACCUGCUGGAACCCUGACCUGUUCACCGGACGUGCUACCUGUCCCAGACCUGCUGUUUUCAACUCUCUAGAGACAGCAGGAGCGGUAGAGAUACUCUCAAAGAUCGGCUAUGAAAAAGCCAACUGACACUUAUUCUUGUGUUACUGACUUGUUUCACCCUCGACAACUACUAUGAUUAUUAUUAUUUGACCAUGCUGGUCAUUUAUGAACAUUUGAACAUCUUGGCCAUGUGCUGUUAUAAUCUCCACCCGGCACAGCCAGAAGAGGACUAGCCACCCCUCAUAGCCUGGUUCCUCUCUAGGUUUCUUCCUUGGUUUUGGCCUUUCUAGGGAGUUUUUCCUAGCCACCGUGCUUCUACACCUGCAUUGCUUGCUGUUUGGGGUUUUAGGCUGGGUUUCUGUACAGCACUUUGAGAUAUCAGCUGAUGUAAGAAGGGCUAUAUAAAUACAUUUGAUUUUGAAAUUUGAUUUGAUAACAGCAGAGCAAUGUUUUUAAAACAGCUAAAAUGUAUAGACAUUUUCAUUAUAUUUGUUUUUAUUUAGUUUUCACCUGGAAUUUUAGUAACAGUCUGUUACAUUCUGAAACUGUCGCUGUAGCUUUGAGAACAUGUUUGUGUACUUGAUUGACAUUUUACUGCAUUGUUAGGGGCCAGUAACAUAACCAUUUUACUGCAUUGUUAGGACCCAGUAACGUAACCAUUUUACUGCAUUGUUAGGACCCAGUAACGUAACCAUUUUACUGCAUUGUUAGGGGCCAGUAACGUAACCAUUUUACUGCAUUGUUAGGGGCCAGUAACGUAACCAUUUUACUGCAUUGUUAGGACCCAGUAACAUAACCAUUUUACUGCAUUGUUAGGACCCAGUAACAUAACCAUUUUACUGCAUUGUUAGGGGCCAGUAACAUAACCAUUUUACUGCAUUGUUAGGGGCCAGUAACAUAACCAUUUUACUGCACCCUCUAUAACAUCUGCUAAACUGUGUACACAACCAACAACGUUUUCCGUUGAAAUUUGCGUUUAGCUCAUAUAAUGACUUCCAUGAUAUUGAUAAAAAGAAGCCGGGUUUGUUUUAAGGUAACUUUAAUACGCUGAAAUUGAGCUAGCUAUCUAGCUAUGGUUCAGCUAACGUCAGCAUUCAGCUUACUAGUACUGAGAUAUUAUGAAGUAGCUAGUUAGCUACAGUAGCUAGCUAAGGAGAAUGCAGAAAUUAUUUUGUUUAGCUUGCUACCUAACAGGUUCUGUAGCUACUAUAAUAUGAACAACACUGUAUGAUAACAUUAGUGUACUUUUAUGUUCUUAUGA
rnacentral:lncRNA from 1 species